GAUGAAGAACGUAGUGAAAUGCGAUAAGUAAUGCGAAUUGCAGAAUUCAGUGAGUCAUCGAAUCUUUGAACGCACAUUGCGCCCUGUGGUAUUCCGCAGGGCAUGCCUGUUCGAGCGUCAUUUCAACCCUCAAGCUCUGCUUGGUGUUGGGCCCUGCCCGCUGCGGCCGGCCCUAAAGACAGUGGCGGUGCCGCCUGGCCCUGAGCGUAGUACAUCUCUCGCUCCAGUGCCCGGUGGUAGCCUGCCAGAACCCCAACUCUCGUGGUUGACCUCGGAUCAGGUAGGGAUACCCGCUGAACUUAAGCAUAUCAAUAACGGAGGA
rnacentral:misc_RNA from 1 species